AUGGGAUCAGGGAACCGGACAGAGCGGCUGGCCAUGACGAGGAAUGUUAAAGCAUGUGAGGCCAAAUGUGGCUCAUCUGCAGAGCUGAGCGAGCGCCUGCAGACGUGCAGCUCUAAAGUGCGAACAGGUCAGGGCAGCUUAACAGGUAGCAGGAGAGAAUUCCACACGCCAGCUCCAGUUUGCUGAAAAUUUGGUGGGAAAAAAACACAAUUUCUACUCCAAAAUACUUUUUUGGUGUUGAUUUGAUCUCAGUUUACUUUUUUGGUGUUGAUUUGAUCUCAGUUUCCAAUUCAGUCAAUAAAAAGGAAGAUAGCAAAAAUGAAACAGCAUUUAAGAGCAAUGAUCUUUGCAAUUCAUAAGGCAUGAAUAUGGUAAAAAAUACAUUUUUAGAUGAAAAUCUUACAAAAAGUAUGAAGUAUAAAUCCAUUAAAUGUCUAAAGUAUUGCACCAUUGUCUCUUUUUAUGCUCAGAUGUUGUUUCAGUAGAACGAAGAAAAGCUCCUGGAAAUAAAUGAGGACUGCAGAGCGCCGCUCUCCUCUGCUGUAAACAUGCCCUCAGGUUGUCAGCAAGCUAUUUUCCAGCCGCUUGCUGUCCAAGCAUAGCUGCCUCCAAAGAUCAUCUGCUAGAAUUUGCUGAACUCAUCAUUUAAGCAUUUUAAAGAGCAAUUACUCCCAUGUAGUUUGAAAACCUUCCUUAUCUGCACUUUUUUCCCCAGUUUUAAAUGCUAACAGGGAUUAGCAAUUUUUUUGGCAUCUUUAAAUGCUAACAAUGGUUAGCAAAACUAUUUUAUGUCUACUUUUAAUAAUAAAAAGGCUUAGCGAAAAACAUGUUUGGCAGCUUUAAAUGCUAAGGGAGUUAGCAAAAUUUUUUUGUCUGCUUUAAAAAUGAAGAGGCAUUAGGCAAAAGACAGUUGGGCAACUUUAAAAGCUAACACUGGUUUGUAAAAAACAAAAAAACAAAAAAAAAACAAUCGCAGCUUUAAAUGCUAACAGGCAUUACUCAAUUUUUUAGGAACUUUAAAUGCUAACAGGUGUUAGCCAAAAGUUUUUUGGGGGCUAUCAUUGUUAAAAGGUGUUAGCAAAAACGUUUGUGGUCCCAAAUGUUAACGGGGUUAGCAAAAAGAAUUCGGCAGCUAUCAUUGUUAAAAGGUGUUAGCAAAAUGUUUGUGGUCCCAAAUGUUAACGGGGUUAGCAAAACGAAUUCGGCAGCUAUCAUUGUUUGAAGGUGUUAGCAAAAAUGUUUGUGGUCCCAAAUGUUAACAGGGUUAGCCAAAAAGAUUUUGGCAGCUUUUAAUGUUAACAAGGGUUGCGAAAAUUUUUGGAAGUUAAAUGGUAACAGUGAUUACCAAAACUGCGUUGAGUGAAUUCUUGUGGAAAGGGGGCAAAUGGUCUCUGAUUUCCAAAAUGCUGCUGGGGUUUAAUACAAGUGAAAGAUGAGGAGUGGUGGAAACUGUAUCUAGCAGUUCAUGCCACAGUGCUAGGAUCUUGUUUCGGAGGAGAGGAGAGCCUGUCUUUUGCCAAAAGGGGCACAUUAAAAACCUCUACAGCCUGUCUCACACAGACCACCAUUUAUUGACAUGGUUGUAAAAGGCCAAUGCUCAAUUAGUCCUGUGAUGUGACAAAGGCGAGAGCAAGUGCAUCUGGUCCCACCUGGAUAGUUUGGCUCACAAAAGCUAAAAAAAAAAAGGUAUUUUCCGGCCAACAAUGCGAAAGUCAUUGUCUGCAUUUAUAUCAUUUCUUUCCAUCCUCUUAUAAGUCCUGCUUUUUAUCGAUGCCUUCAGAUUCCCAUGGGGCAUGUCUCAACAUGCAAGGAAUGGCGGGCUGAGGCAUUCUGGACCUUAGGAAUGUGGCUCGGUGAGGCUAGGGGUCACAGUCAGACCACUCAUCGCUGCACUUUUCU
rnacentral:lncRNA from 1 species